AGUGAACGCUGGCGGCAUGCCUAAUACAUGCAAGUCGAACGAACACACAAUGAGCGUUCGCCUCUAAGGGUGGCGACUGACGGGCGGGUGACACAUAGAUAAGCUUCCUAUAAGACGUGGGGAACUUCGGAGAACCACAUCUGAUACCACAUAAUAUAUUCUACGGGAGGAUGCAAUAGUUCAACACAGUUUUCCUGUCACUUAUAGAUGACGCCGGAUUAGCUAGUUGGCAAGGUAAAGGCAUACCAAGGCAACGAUCCGUAGCUGGUCUGAGAGGAUGAUCAGCCACACUGGAACUGAGACACGGUCCAGACUCCUACGGGAGGCAGCAGUAGGGAAUAUUGCGCAAUGGGCGCAAGCCUGAUCGAGCCAUGCCGCGUGAGUGAUGAAGGUCUUCGGGUCGUAAAACUCUGUUGUUAGGGAAGAAAAACAGCGUAAGAAACUCUGGCUGUUUUGACGGUACCCAAUGAGAAAGCACCGGCUAACUUCGUG
rnacentral:rRNA from 1 species